rfam:Desulfotomaculum acetoxidans DSM 771, complete genome.
UUAGGAAAAUAAUUUAAGGGCUGCCCGAGUAUGUACUUCUAAAAUACGGUGCAAAUAUAAAUUAAUUCCUGCACGGUCCCGCCGCUGUGAUGGGGAAAUGUUUCAUGUACAGGCCAUUGGCUGCAAACCGGGAAGGUAUGAAACAUUGAUUAACCAUAGUCAGAAGACCUGCCUGAAUUGCGCACUAAUC